GACGAACGCUGGCGGCGUGCUUAACGCAUGCAAGUCGAACGGAAAGGCCCUGCUUUUGUGGGGUGCUCGAGUGACGAACGGGUGAGUAACACGUGAGUAACCUGCCCUUGACUUUGGGAUAACUUCAGGAAACUGGGGCUAAUACCGGAUAGGAGCUCCUGCUGCAUGGUGGGGGUUGGAAAGUUUCGGCGGUUGGGGAUGGACUCGCGGCUUAUCAGCUUGUUGGUGGGGUAGUGGCUUACCAAGGCUUUGACGGGUAGCCGGCCUGAGAGGGUGACCGGCCACAUUGGGACUGAGAUACGGCCCAGACUCCUACGGGAGGCAGCAGUGGGGAAUAUUGCACAAUGGGCGGAAGCCUGAUGCAGCAACGCCGCGUGCGGGAUGACGGCCUUCGGGUUGUAAACCGCUUUCGCCUGUGACGAAGCGUGAGUGACGGUAAUGGGUAAAGAAGCACCGGCUAACUACGUG
rnacentral:rRNA from 1 species